AUGGCUGUCGUCAGCUCGUGCCGUGAGGUGUUGCCUUAAGUGGCGCAACGAGCGCAACCCCUGUCCUUAGUUGCCAGCGGGUAAUGCCGGGAACUCUAGGGAGACUGCCGGUGCCAAACCGGAGGAAGGUGGGGAUGACGUCAAGUCAUCAUGCCCCUUAUAUCCAGGGCUGCACGCAUGCUACAAUGCGCGAUACAGAGGGCUGCGAUCCCGCAAGGGGGAGCGAAUCCCAAAAAGUCGCGCUCAGUUCGGAUCGAGGUCUGCAACCCGACCUCGUGAAGUCGGAGUCGCUAGUAAUCGCAGAUCAGCAAUGCUGCGGUGAAUACGUUCCCGGGCCUUGUACACACCGCCCGUCACACCACGAAAGUGGGCAACACCCGAAGCCGGUGGCCUAACCCUUUUGGGAGGGAGCCGUCGAAGGUGGGGCUCGCGAUUGGGGUGAAGUCGUAACAAGGUAGCCGUACCGGAAGGUGCGGCUGGAUCACCUCCUUUCUAAGGAGCCUUUGGCACCAUUCGGGUCGAUCCGGCAACUGUUCGGAUCGCGCGCCCGAAAGACUCCAGGUCGAUGCACUGGCCCCCGUCGGUAACUUGCGGCGGGACACACUGUUCAGCUUUGAGGGUGCGAGCCCUCUUGGAACCUUGAGAACUCGAUAGCGAGCGCGAGCAUCUACAGUCAAGUUAUAAAGGGCUUACGGUGGAUGCCUAGGCGCCAGGAGCCGAUGAAGGACGCGUCUGGCUGCGAAAAGCUUCGGGGAGCUGCCGAGAGAGCUUUGAUCCGGAGAUGUCCGAAUGGGGAAACCCGG
rnacentral:sRNA from 1 species